rnacentral:rRNA from 1 species
CCUACGGGAGGCAGCAGUGGGGAAUAUUGGGCAAUGGGCGCAAGCCUGACCCAGCAACGCCGCGUGAAGGAAGAAGGCUUUCGGGUUGUAAACUUCUUUUCUGAGGGACGAAGAAAGUGACGGUACCUCAGGAAUAAGCCACGGCUAACUACGUGCCAGCAGCCGCGGUAAUACGUAGUUGGCAAGCGUUCUCCAGAUUUAUUGGGUGUAAAGGGCGUGUAGGCGGGAAAGCACGUCAGAUGUUAAAACUCAGGGCUCAACCCUGAGCCGGCAUUUGAAACUGUUUUUUUUGAGUGCUGGGGAGGCAAUCGGAAUUCCGUGUGUAGCGGUGAAAUGCGGAGAUAUACGGAGGAACACCAGUGACGAAGGCGGAUUGCUGGACAGUAACUGACGCUGAGGCGCGAAAGCGUGGGGAGCAAACAGGAUUAGAUACCCUAGUAGUC